rnacentral:lncRNA from 1 species
AAGAAAAUGUUUUUGAAAAAUGCAAAUUUUAACAGAUUUAGGGUAUAGAAGUGCAGUUGUGUUCCAUGGAUAUAUUUACAUAGUGAAGUCUGAGCUUUCAGUGUAUCCAUCAUCCAAAUAGGAUACAUUGUCCUCAAUAGGUAGUCUUUCAUCCCUCAACCCUUUCCCAACUUCCCACCUUUUGGAGUCUCCAAUGUCAUUAUUUCAUUCUGUAUCCACAUGUACCCAUUGUUUAGCUCCCACUUAUAAUUGAUAAUAUCUAGCAUUUGGCUUUCUGUUUUUGAGUUAUUUCACUUAAGCCAAUGGCCUCCAGUUCCAUCCAAGUUGUUAUAAAAGACAUGACUUCAGUCUUUUUAUGGGGAAGUAGUAUCACAUUUUAGAAAUCCAAUAGUCCAUUGAUGGACACUCAGGUUGAUUCUAUUUGGGCAUCCCUGUUCUCUUGGGUGCCAGGAGCCCUGCCCUUCUGGGUGCAGUUGCAGGUGCCCAAGCUGUGGCUGUGGAUCCGGGCAUCUCCACACUUUUGUUGUUAAAAUCUGGUGUUCAGGUCUUCUGCUGCAUUUUUUAUUUCCAUCACUGUACUUUGUAUAAAUCUUUCACUUUUUAAAAAUCAAAAACAAGGCCGAGCACGGUGGCUCACACCUGUAAUCCCAGCACUUUGGAAGGCCGAGUCAGGUGGAUCAUGAGGUCAGGAGACCAAGACCAUCCUGGCUAACAAGGUGAAACCCCAUCUCUACUAAAAAUACAAAAAAAUUAGCCAGG